GCAAUCCUUGAAUAAGAAAAUGGCUGGCAAAAGACUUCUGGAUAACUGGAGGAGAUUGUCACAGAGACACCUGUGGAAAGAUGUCCUGGUUAACAGGGAGAUUCUCUCUCAGGCAGAAGGAACGAGCAUCUCUACUCCCAAAUGUUUCAGUAAAAAGGAUAAGGAUAGAAGAGGUUUGAAGACUGAACUCUUCCUUUCUCUCUAUGGCCCCUCAAUCAGCUUCUUACAUCAAAGUUGUGGCUGACAGACAGCUCUAGGCAUCAUGAAAACAGGCAUGCUGAUUUGGACCAAUGUAUUGCACAGCCCACUACUUUGACUCCAAUAACGGACAGAAGUGGAUCGAUG